UACGUAGGCAGCGAGCGUUGUUCGGAGUUACUGGGCGUAAAGAGUGCGUAGGCGGUUUUCUAAGUUUGGUGUGAAAUCUCCCGGCUCAACUGGGAGGGUGCGCCGAAGACUGGAAGGCUUGAGUAUGGGAGAGGUAAGCGAAAUUCCUGGUGUAGCGGUGAAAUGCGUAGAUAUCAGGAGGAACACCUGCGGUGUAGACGGCUUACUGGACCAUAACUGACGCUGAGGCACGAAAGCGUGGGUAGCAAACAGG
rnacentral:rRNA from 1 species